rnacentral:rRNA from 1 species
UACGUAGGGUGCAAGCGUUUAAUCGGAAUACUGGGCGUAAAGCGUGCGCAGGCGGUUUUGUAAGUCUGUCGUGAAAGCCCCGGGCUCAACCUGGGAAUUGCGAUGGAGACUGCAAGGCUGGAGUACGGCAGAGGGGGGAUGGAAUUCCGCGUGUAGCAGUGAAAUGCGUAGAUAUGCGGAGGAACACCGAUGGCGAAGGCAAUCCCCUGGGCCUGUACUGACGCUCAUGCACGAAAGCGUGGGGAGCAAACAGG